GAUGAACGCUGGCGGCGUGCCUAAUACAUGCAAGUCGAGCGAACGGACGAGAAGCUUGCUUCUCUGAUGUUAGCGGCGGACGGGUGAGUAACACGUGGAUAACCUACCUAUAAGACUGGGAUAACUUCGGGACACCGUAGCUAAUACCGGAUAAUAGUUUGAACCGCAUGGUUCAAAAGUGAAAGACGGUCUUGCUGUCACUUAUAGAUGGAUCCGCGCUGCAUUAGCUAGUUGGUAAGGUAACGGCUUACCAAGGCAACGAUGCAUAGCCGACCUGAGAGGGUGAUCAGCCACACUGGAACUGAGCCACGGUCCAGACUCCUACGGGAGGCAGCAGUAGGGAAUCUUCCGCAAUGGGCGAAAGCCUGACGGAGCAACGCCGCGUGAGUGAUGAAGGUCUUCGGCUCGUAAAACUCUGUUAUUAGGGAAGAACAUAUGUGUAAGUAACUGUGCACAUCUUGACGGUACCUAAUCAGAAAGCCACGGCUAACUACGUG
rnacentral:rRNA from 1 species